CACCGCAAAACAAGGCUGUUGGAGCCACUUAGACAAUACUGUAUAGUGAAGAAAGAUGUGUGUUAACCCUUGACUUAAACAGUUGUAGAUUGUAUCCCAUGGGAAAGCAGGUCCGUGGAAGCUCAUUCCAUAGCGAAGUUGUUCUUGGAAAAAAGCUCUGAGCGUGGAACUUCCUCCUAGAAGGAGGAUUGUGGAGGAAAAAAGGAUGAUUUGCUUCCAUGGAAGUGGCUAAACGGGUUCUUGCAGUGAAGGUUCGUAUUGGAGGCACAGAUGAGUGAAGUUCUGCCGAGCAUUUA